ACGCUCGACACCUACGGGGGGCAGCAGUGGGGAAUAUUGGGCAAUGGGCGCAAGCCUGACCCAGCAACGCCGCGUGAAGGAAGAAGGCUUUCGGGUUGUAAACUUCUUUUGUCAGGGAACAGUAGAAGAGGGUACCUGACGAAUAAGCCACGGCUAACUACGUGCCAGCAGCCGUGGUAAUCUGAGCGGGCUGGCAAGGC
rnacentral:rRNA from 1 species